CCUUUUCUCUGCCCAUUGGGGUGUCUUAUUGUUUUUACUAUUUACUCUACCAUUGUAUUCUGACUAUUAGAAGGGCAGAUAAUUUGUAUUUUACAUCACAGGAGCUAUAUGAAGAACUACAUCUGUGUCUGUUGAAGAAGAUUGAGUGUUCCCAAGAGAUCCUGACAUCUGGGUUCAAUGCAGCAUGUGAAUGAGAGGCUGCAGUUGACUCCCCUGAGGAGCUGACGCUAGGAAGUCUGAAAUACACAGGGAAGACUGAGAUAUGCAAUCUGGAAACAGAAUUCUCCUUCCCUGGGAACCUGAGUCUGCUCUCAAGGCCUUCAAAAGAUUGGAUGAAGUCCAUACACAUUAUGGAGGAUAAUCCGCUUUACUUAAAGUCUACUGGUUGUAAAUGUUAAUUAUACCUAAAAACUAUAUUUCACAGCGA